AGUCUGGCUGGAGGCCAAACAACACAAAACCAGCACACUUAACAAAAAUAUAACCAAUGACCCUUGCAGAGUCCACUUAACUCCCCUCCACCAGAGCAGGUGCUGGUAUCCACAGCUGAGAGACCUGAAGAUGGAUCACAUCACAGGACUCCUUGCAGACAUUCUCCAGUACCAGCCCAGAGCCUGACCUGUCCACGCUGAGUUUAUAGCAACUGUCAAUUACGGUUCAGAUUUUCCUACCCCAGCGUGACUUUCCAAAGAGGCUUCUGCUCAUGGAUUUCUGCUCCAGGAAGAUGCAACAGGAAGGUCCUCACAAGAUGGCUGAACAGAUGCAGGUGCUGUGCCUCUGGACUGCCUAGCCUCCAGAACUGGAAAAUGGUUCAUUGUUUCCAUCAUGUACUCUAUGGAAUACAAAGCUCUGAAACCUGUUGGCUACUGGAAGUGUACAAGAAAAAGACUCUCAAGCUAGAGGUGGGGUAGAGCUGGAGCCAGCCAUGUCAAGAUCUUUCGAGGACAUGAACAUUUUUUAUGCUUAUUAAAAGAUGAUGUGGUUUUAAAAUAAAUCUAAGGCUGGGCGCAGUGGCUCAUGCCUGGAAUCCCAGCAGUUUGGGAGGCUGAGGCGGGUGGAUUGCUUGAGCUCAGUAAUUCAAGACCAGCCUGGGCAACAUGGCAAGAAACUCUCUCUACUAAAAACAGAAAAAUUAAGUACGUGUGGUGGUGCAUGUCUGUGGUCCCAGCUACUUGGGAGGCUGAGCUGGGAGGAUGGCUUGAGCCCAGGGGGCAAGAGAUGGGGGAGAGGUUGUAGUGAGCUGAGAUCACGCCACUGCAUUCCAGUCUGGGUGACAGAGCCAGACCCUGUCUCAAAAUAAUAAUAAUAAUCAUAAAACGAAAUAAGACUAAGAGAAAGGUAGAUUACACAAGUGCUAAAAUCCC
rnacentral:lncRNA from 1 species